rnacentral:rRNA from 1 species
UCGCAAGCGUUAUCCGGAUUUAUUGGGCGUAAAGCGCGUCUAGGCGGCUAAAUAAGUCUGAUGUGAAAAUGCGGGGCUCAACUCCGUAUUGCGUUGGAAACUGUAUAGCUAGAGUACUGGAGAGGUAAGCGGAACUACAAGUGUAGAGGUGAAAUUCGUAGAUAUUUGUAGGAAUGCCGAUGGGGAAGCCAGCUUACUGGACAGAUACUGACGCUAAAGCGCGAAAGCGUGGGUAGCAAAC